rnacentral:rRNA from 1 species
GCUAUACAUGCAAGUCGAGCGAAUGGAUUAAGAGCUUGCUCUUAUGAAGUUAGCGGCGGACGGGUGAGUAACACGUGGGUAACCUGCCCAUAAGACUGGGAUAACUCCGGGAACCGGCUAUCCGGUAACUUUUGAACCGCAUGGCAUGGUUCGAAAUUGAAAGGCGGCUUCCGCUGUGUCACUUAUGGAUGGACCCGCGUCGCAUUAGCUAGUUGGUGAGGUAACGGCUCACCAAGGCAACGAUGCGUAGCCGACCUGAGAGGGUGAUCGGCCACACUGGGACUGAGACACGGCCCAGACUCCUACGGGAGGCAGCAGUAGGGAAUCUUCCGCAAUGGACGAAAGUCUGACGGAGCAACGCCGCGUGAGUGAUGAAGGCUUUCGGGUCGUAAAACUCUGUUGUUAGGGAAGAACAAGUGCUAGUUGAAUAAGCUGGCACCUUGACGGUACCUAACCAGAAAGCCACGGCUAACUACGUGCCAGCAGCCGCGGUAAUACGUAGGUGGCAAGCGUUAUCCGGAAUUAUUGGGCGUAAAGCGCGCGCACGUGGUUUCUUAAGUCUGAUGUGAAAGCCCACGGCUCAACCGUGGAGG